rnacentral:rRNA from 1 species
GAUGAACGCUGGCGGCGUGCCUAAUACAUGCAAGUCGAGCGAACAGACGAGGAGCUUGCUCCUCUGACGUUAGCGGCGGACGGGUGAGUAACACGUGGAUAACCUACCUAUAAGACUGGGAUACUUCGGGAAAACCGGACUAAUUCCGGAUAAUAUAUUUAAACGCAUUGGUUCAUAGGUAAAAACGGGUUUUCUUUCACUUAUAGGUUGAUCCGCGCCGCAUUAGCUAGUUGGUAAGGUAACGGCUUACCAAGGAAACGAUGCGUAGCCGACAUGAGAGGGUGACCGCCCACCCUGGAACUGAGACACGGUCCUGCCUCCGACGGGAGGCAGAAGUAGGGAAUCUUCCGAAAUGGGCGAAAGCCUGACGGAGCAACGCCGCGUGAGUGAUGAAGGUCUUCGGAUCGUAAAACUCUGUUAUUAGGGAAGAACAAAUGUGAAGUACUAUGCACGUCUUGACGGUACCUAAUCAGAAAGCCACGGCUAACUACGUG